rnacentral:lncRNA from 1 species
UCCAGUUGUGGACUUAAAUUUAAGUCAAAUUGAGUUACUGAGUCCAUUCAGAUCUCCAGUAGGGUUUUUUAUCUUAUGUAAUUAUUUGGCCACCUGUUUUACAUGUAGAUCAUGACUCUGCCUGGAUUUUACCAUUAAGUUAAUUUUAAAGUAUAUAUAUAGUUUACAAAAAUGAUUCAAAUUAAUUGCUUUGUAUAUGUUUGUGAGAUCUAGCUUCUGAGGAAUCUCAUACAUGGUAGGAACCAUCACAGAGUAAAGCUUGUAGCAGAAAAAUUGGAAAGGUUUCGAGAUAUCCUAGGGAAAGAGCAAGCACUCUCUGGGGAAUCAGUGGGCAAAUAUCAAUAUUUGAUCAAAUUAACACUACCUCCUUCCCAGUGUUGGUGUUCACUCACUAUAUAUGUCUUUAAGAAAAUUAAAAGUGUGGAAAAUUUGUGUAGCAUAUCAAGAAGUUGUAAAUGCUAUAUCUGGUAUCCAGAGGCUGGCUGUAAAAAGUUCCUUGGUGUCACUCUAUCUCCCAUUUUUUUGGUUAGCAUUUUAAAAAUGCAAAGCCACAUACUUUGAAAUAUAUUAUUCCAAAUUGAGCUCCCUUCCCUUUGCACAUAUUUUUUCCUCCCCUUAUUGAAGUCAGCUCAAACCCCAAAUUCUAGUAUCCAGAAGUAUUUUUGUUUGUAUAAUGUUAUCUGAAAAAUGUGUUUAUAUUAUAUUUUCAGAGCUGCAAUUCUUAUUUGCCAUUUCAAUACCUACAGAUAAAGAGUCUUACAUUUGAAGCCACACACACUGGUGUAAUAUGCUUAAUACUCUAGGUCAAGGAUUUGUUGGUAAAUGGAACAUUUUAGCAUAGUCAUUAUGAUAUUUGGUUGCCUAGACAUCAGGCAAACAUUCAGUACACUAAAGAAACUAUCCUGGACACUCCCUCCCACCUCCACCAAUUUUUUUCUCACCCCCUUUUCAAAAAUUGAAAACUCUAUGAGUGUCUUUUUCAGACCAUAAAGCAGACUUUAGUGACUUUCUAUUUCUGUAAAUACUAAAUGUCUGGCAUUUUAAACUUUUAUAGAAUACAUUGUGUUGGACACUGGAAUAAUACUAUUUAUUU